rnacentral:rRNA from 1 species
CGCUGACGAGUGGCGGACGGGUGAGUAAUGUCUGGGAAACUGCCUGAUGGAGGGGGAUAACUACUGGAAACGGUGGCUAAUACCGCAUAACGUCGCAAGACCAAAGAGGGGGACCUUCGGGCCUCUUGCCAUCAGAUGUGCCCAGAUGGGAUUAGCUUGUUGGUGAGGUAACGGCUCACCAAGGCGACGAUCCCUAGCUGGUCUGAGAGGAUGACCAGCCACACUGGAACUGAGACACGGUCCAGACUCCUACGGGAGGCAGCAGUGGGGAAUAUUGCACAAUGGGCGCAAGCCUGAUGCAGCCAUGCCGCGUGUAUGAAGAAGGCCUUCGGGUUGUAAAGUACUUUCAGCGGGGAGGAAGGUGUUGUGGUUAAUAACCGCAGCAAUUGACGUUACCCGCAGAAGAAGCACCGGCUAACUCCGUGCCAGCAGCCGCGGUAAUACGGAGGGUGCAAGCGUUAAUCGGAAUUACUGGGCGUAAAGCGCACGCAGGCGGUCUGUCAAGUCGGAUGUGAAAUCCCCGGGCUCAACCUGGGAACUGCAUUCGAAACUGGCAGGCUUGAGUCUUGUAGAGGGGGGUAGAAUUCCAGGUGUAGCGGUGAAAUGCGUAGAGAUCUGGAGGAAUACCGGUGGCGAAGGCGGCCCCCUGGACAAAGACUGACGCUCAGGUGCGAAAGCGUGGGGAGCAAACAGGAUUAGAUACCCUGGUAGUCCACGCCGUAAACGAUGUCUACUUGGAGGUUGUGCCCUUGAGGCGUGGCUUCCGGAGCUAACGCGUUAAGUAGACCGCCUGGGGAGUACGGCCGCAAGGUUAAAACUCAAAUGAAUUGACGGGGGCCCGCACAAGCGGUGGAGCAUGUGGUUUAAUUCGAUGCAACGCGAAGAACCUUACCUGGUCUUGACAUCCACAGAACUUUCCAGAGAUGGAUUGGUGCCUUCGGGAACUGUGAGACAGGUGCUGCAUGGCUGUCGUCAGCUCGUGUUGUGAAAUGUUGGGUUAAGUCCCGCAACGAGCGCAACCCUUA